rnacentral:rRNA from 1 species
AGGUUGGCUCAGAAGCAGCCAUCCUUUAAAGAGUGCGUAACAGCUCACUAGUCGAAUGACUCUGCGCCGAUAAUUUACCGGGGCUAAGCAUACUACCGAAGCUAUGGAUCCCAAGGGAUGGUAGGGGAGCGUUCCAUGAACGGAGAAGUACGACCGAAAGGACGUGUGGAGAUCAUGGAAGAGAGAAUGCCGGUGUGAGUAGCGGAACGUGGGUGAGAAUCCCACGCACCGAAAACCCAAGGUUUCCAGAGGAAGGUUCGUCCGCUCUGGGUAAGUCGGGACCUAAGGCGAGGCCGAAAGGCGUAGUCGAUGGACAACAGGUAGAGAUUCCUGUACCCGUAUAUAUGUGAAGGAAUGACGGAGAGAGGAAGCUGCAGCCAGCGGCUGGAAGAGCUGGUGCAAGCGAGAUAUCGGGAUGGCAGGCAAAUCCACCAUCCGAAACGAGAAGGCGUGAAGCGUACGGAAAGCUACGGCGAGUACGGAAGGCAGUGGAGGAACUUCCAAGAAAAGUUUCUAACGUUAAGUAUAUAUGGCCCGUACCGAAAAUGGACACACAUGGGUGAGGAGAGAAUCCUAAGGUGAGCGAGAGAACUAUAGCUAAGGAACUCUGCAAAAUGACUCCGUAACUUAGGGAGAAGGAGUGCUCAUAGAGAUAUGAGCCGCAGUGAAACGGCCCAAGCGACUGUUUACCAAAAACACAGCUCUAUGCUAAGUCGAAAGACGACGUAUAUGGGGUGACGCCUGCCCGGUGCUGGAAGGUUAAGAGGAAGUGUCAGCGCAAGCGAAGCACAGAAUUGAAGCCCCAGUAAACGGCGGCCGUAACUAUAACGGUCCUAAGGUAGCGAAAUUCCUUGUCAGGUAAGUUCUGACCCGCACGAAAGGCGUAACGAUUUGGGCGCUGUCUCAGCUGUAGACUCGGUGAAGUCUUAGUACCUGUGAAGAUGCAGGUUACCCGCGACUAGACGGAAAGACCCCAUGGAGCUUCACUGCAGGUUGAUAUUGGGAUUUGAUGCAGCAUGUACAGGAUAGGUAGGAGGCAAAGAGAUGGAUACGCCAGUAUUCAAGGAGCCGCUGUUGGGAUACUACCCCUGUUGUAUUGGAUUUCUAACCGGACGACGUAGAGCCGUUGACGGGACAGUGUCAGUCGGGCAGUUUGACUGGGGCGGUCGCCUCCCAAAGAGUAACGGAGGCGCCCAAAGAUACCCUCAGCUUGGAUGGAAAUCAAGCGCAGAGUGCAAAGGCAAAAGGGUGUUUGACUGCGAGACCAACAAGUCGAGCAGGGACGAAAGUCGGGCUUAGUGAUCCGGCGGUGCUGAAUGGAAAGGCCGUCGCUCAACGGAUAAAAGCUACCCUGGGGAUAACAGGCUGAUCUCCCCCAAGAGUUCACAUCGACGGGGAGGUUUGGCACCUCGAUGUCGGCUCAUCGCAUCCUGGAGCUGAAGUCGGUUCCAAGGGUUGGGCUGUUCGCCCAUUAAAGCGGUACGCGAGCUGGGUUCAGAACGUCGUGAGACAGUUCGGUCCCUAUCUGUCGUGGGCGUAGGAAGUUUGAGAAGAUCUGUCCUCAGUACGAGAGGACCGGGAUGGACAUAUCAAUGGUGGACCAGUUGUCACGCCAGUGGCACAGCUGGGUAGCUAAAUAUGGAAGGGAUAAACGCUGAAGGCAUCUAAGUGUGAAACCCACUUCAAGAUGAGACUUCCCAAAACGCAAGAGAGUAAGACCCCUUAAAGACGAUAAGGUAGAUAGGUCAGGAGUGUAAGCAUGGCGACAUGUUAAGCGGACUGAUACUAAUAGGUCGAGGACUUAACCU